UGGAGUAUGUGGUUUAAUUCGACGCAACGCGCAGACCUUACCUAGGCUUGACAUCCCGGGAAUUUGCUGGAAACAGUGAAGUGCUUUCAUUAGAAAGAGCCCGGUGACAGGUGCUGCAUGGCUGUCGUCAGCUCGUGUCGUGAGAUGUUGGGUUAAGUCCCGCAACGAGCGCAACCCUCGCCUUUAGUUGCCAGCAUUCAGUUGGGCACUCUAAAGGGACUGCCGGUGUCAAACCGGAGGAAGGUGGGGAUGACGUCAAGUCCUCAUGGCCUUUAUGUCUAGGGCUACACACGUACUACAAUGGCAGGUACAAAGGGCAGCGACACAGCGAUGUGAUGCGAAUCCCGAAAAGCCUGUCUCAGUCCGGAUCGGAGUCUGCAACUCGACUCCGUGAAGUUGGAAUCGCUAGUAAUCGUGGAUCAGCAUGCCAUGGUGAAUACGUUCCCGGGCCUU
rnacentral:rRNA from 1 species